rnacentral:lncRNA from 1 species
CCAAGGAGGAAGAAGUAGCAGCAGGGAGAGGCAGCUUUGAGGUGGCAAUGUCUCUGUGGCUCCAGGACGUGUUAGGCAGGGCUGAAGCACUUGUCACUUGGUGAGAAGAGUAAUAAAGAAGUGAAUGCUUAAGUAUGUUGAUUAUCCUCUCACAGAUGCAGCUGCUGAAAAACAAAUGGAGGUCAGCAGCAGCUGAAGGCCUGUGUUGGUUGAACAAUCUGCUGAGGACUGUUCCAGGACCGUCCAGAGAAAAUAAUAAGUUAAAGAGCAAAAACACUCAAAGCAGUGGUGAAUGUGGGUUAAGAAUCUGGCUGUUCAAGCUCUCAAAAUUCAGGGCACAGCUGAGAUUUGGGACUGCUGGGUUACAACGCUGAGCUCCCAUGGCUUAGCAACUGAUGCUGAGCUUCAGUGUGGCUGAGACAUUAAGAGAGAUGAAUUUUCCAAAAUGAGGCAGACCAGUGAACUGUGCUGGCAGUGUAAUUCCAUUACUUUCAAGGAGUUGAGUCUGUUAUAGCCAGUCAAGUGGAACAAUGCUGUACCUUAAAGGAAAAAAAAAAUAAAAAAUUGAUUUCUAUUAUUGUUAUUAAAACU